rnacentral:rRNA from 1 species
UACGAAGGGGGCUAGCGUUGUUCGGAAUUACUGGGCGUAAAGCGUGCGCAGGCGGCUUCUCAAGUCAAGGGUGAAAGCCCAGAGCUCAACUCUGGAAUUGCCUUUGAGACUGAGUGGCUUGAGUACGAGAGAGGUGAGUGGAAUUCCCAGUGUAGAGGUGAAAUUCGUAGAUAUUGGGAAGAACACCGGUGGCGAAGGCGGCUCACUGGCUCGUAACUGACGCUCAUGCACGACAGCGUGGGGAUCAAACAGG